AUUGAACGCUGGCGGCAUGCUUUACACAUGCAAGUCGAACGGCAGCGCGGGCUUCGGCCUGGCGGCGAGUGGCGAACGGGUGAGUAAUACAUCGGAACGUGCCCCGUAGUGGGGGAUAGCUCGGCGAAAGCCGGAUUAAUACCGCAUACGACCUGAGGGUGAAAGCGGGGGAUCUUCGGACCUCGCGCUAUUGGAGCGGCCGAUGGCAGAUUAGCUAGUUGGUGGGGUAAAGGCCUACCAAGGCGACGAUCUGUAGCUGGUCUGAGAGGACGACCAGCCACACUGGGACUGAGACAAGGCCCAGACUCCUACGGGAGGCAGCAGUGGGGAAUUUUGGACAAUGGGCGAAAGCCUGAUCCAGCAAUGCCGCGUGUGUGAUGAAGGCCUUCGGGUUGUAAAGCACUUUUGGCGGGAACGAAAAGGACUGUGCCAAUACCACGGUUCGAUGACGGUACCCGCAGAAUAAGCACCGGCUAACUACGUG
rnacentral:rRNA from 1 species